AUCUACUAAAUUAGUGAAUUAAUAAAAUUCUCUUUAAAACCUGCAAACACCUUACAAAACCUUCCCUUCCUUAGUUCCUUGUAAGUAAACAUUCAACACCUCCAUGGACUAUAGACUUGAGCCAUAAGUUCAACUCCAGCCUCCAUGUCCACUCUUCAAUAAAAUGCAUUGAAGCUCGAUUGCGGGAUGAUAACCAAACAGAUUUAGUUUCAAACCAGUGACUCUUGGCCUUAACUUAUUCUAUACAUUAUAUGGGAGGCAAGUAAACUACCGUUUUGGCCUAGAGUCUAAACACCACCUUUUUACGAAAUAAAUAAAAAUCCUAACGUUUGGCUACAUACAAAAAAUGCAUCAAAACAGUAGGCUGGUUACCAUGUUAACUACACAAGUUGCAAUGUAUAUGUAAUAUGAAGCGCCAUCGAUAUCAAGUCUGACUACCAUCAAUUAUUCAAGAGAAGAUGCUCUACAAUAUGAUAUGAGAUAUAAAAACACCCACAAUGAUAACCAAUACUUGCCAAUCCCAAAUAAGUGUUACGGUCAUUUAUAAUUUUGUUUAAAAUAUAAAAAGUACUAGCUAAUACGGCUUUGCACAAACCCAUAAUAUAUAACUAGAUCUAAACAUUUUGCUAUUACAACAGUCGCUGAACAAAAGGGGUGACUAGACUUUCCAGAAUUGCAAGUCUCAAAAAGUCUAGACAACAACCAAAAUCCUUGAGCUUCAUUUCAAGCCUUGGUAGCAAUGUUGUUGGACAGCCACUCCAGCCCCUCAUAAAGACCCUCUCCAGAUGUCGCACACGUGCUCUGGAUGUACCAGUGGCGUUGACGGAGAGAAUGAAGCCCAAGCUUGUCAGUUAUUUCUGCAGCAUUCAUGGCAUUGGGAAGAUCUUGUUUGUUAGCAAAAACAAGCAAGACAGCAUCUCUCAGUUCAUCCUCAUUCAGCAUUCUAUGCAACUCAUCCCUUGCCUCAACAAUUCGAUCUCUGUCGUUACUAUCCACCACAAAAAUAAGACCCUGAGUGUUCUGGAAGUAAUGCCUCCACAGAGGGCGAAUCUUGUCUUGACCACCAACAUCCCAAACAGUG
rnacentral:misc_RNA from 1 species